rnacentral:rRNA from 1 species
GCAGUCGAGCGGACAGAAGGGAGCUUGCUCCCGGAUGUUAGCGGCGGACGGGUGAGUAACACGUGGGUAACCUGCCUGUAAGACUGGGAUAACUCCGGGAAACCGGAGCUAAUACCGGAUAGUUCCUUGAACCGCAUGGUUCAAGGAUGAAAGACGGUUUCGGCUGUCACUUACAGAUGGACCCGCGGCGCAUUAGCUAGUUGGUGGGGUAAUGGCUCACCAAGGCGACGAUGCGUAGCCGACCUGAGAGGGUGAUCGGCCACACUGGGACUGAGACACGGCCCAGACUCCUACGGGAGGCAGCAGUAGGGAAUCUUCCGCAAUGGACGAAAGUCUGACGGAGCAACGCCGCGUGAGUGAUGAAGGUUUUCGGAUCGUAAAGCUCUGUUGUUAGGGAAGAACAAGUGCGAGAGUAACUGCUCGCACCUUGACGGUACCUAACCAGAAAGCCACGGCUAACUACGUGCCAGCAGCCGCGGUAAUACGUAGGUGGCAAGCGUUGUCCGGAAUUAUUGGGCGUAAAGGGCUCGCAGGCGGUUUCUUAAGUCUGAUGUGAAAGCCCCCGGCUCAACCGGGGAGGGUCAUUGGAAACUGGGAAACUUGAGUGCAGAAGAGGAGAGUGGAAUUCCACGUGUAGCGGUGAAAUGCGUAGAGAUGUGGAGGAACACCAGUGGCGAAGGCGACUCUCUGGUCUGUAACUGACGCUGAGGAGCGAAAGCGUGGGGAGCGAACAGGAUUAGAUACCCUGGUAGUCCACGCCGUAAACGAUGAGUGCUAAGUGUUAGGGGGUUUCCGCCCCUUAGUGCUGCAGCUAACGCAUUAAGCACUCCGCCUGGGGAGUACGGUCGCAAGACUGAAACUCAAAGGAAUUGACGGGGGCCCGCACAAGCGGUGGAGCAUGUGGUUUAAUUCGAAGCAACGCGAAGAACCUUACCAGGUCUUGACAUCCUCUGACAACCCUAGAGAUAGGGCUUUCCCUUCGGGGACAGAGUGACAGGUGGUGCAUGGUUGUCGUCAGCUCGUGUCGUGAGAUGUUGGGUUAAGUCCCGCAACGAGCGCAACCCUUGAUCUUAGUUGCCAGCAUUCAGUUGGGCACUCUAAGGUGACUGCCGGUGACAAACCGGAGGAAGGU